CAGCCCAUACAGGAGGUGGACUGCAUACUGGAACUGCCUCACAUUGGAUGACAAAUUUGGUCCCCGUGCCAUCCAUGGAGGAGUUUCAGGAAGCCUACUCGACCUCUCUCCUUGCCGCGACCCAACCAUAAAAUGUUGGGGAUGGCGGAGAAGGAGAUGGAGUAUCGGGUCGAGCUUUGAACCUUUAUUGUGUUGAAUUCUUACUAGACACAGAACAAAAUUCGGCUCACAUGUUUCUUUAUGCUCUGAAUGUUCAACAGUUUUGAACCUUUAAGCUACUGUUUUGACAUUAAGUGGAUUACAUGAAUCAGUUUGAUACU